AGAACUGCUAAUGAAAGCUAUUUCCAAGGUCAUAUGGCUAUUUCUACAAGCCCUUUUGAAAAAUGAUACUUAGCCUGCCAGUGAAGUGCUAAUUAAUGUGAGGAUGUGGUACACCAUAUAAUAAAGACUGCUGUUGAGGAAUGUGAAUGAAGAAGAAAUUGCUCCUGAGGUGUUGAUGGGUAAACAAGAUUGGUAUGGAGGUGGGCCACAGUUUUUCUAUAGGUCUUUGUUCAUACCGGAACAUGCAACAGCCAACCUCACUCAUGGAGGAAGUUU